UAUGGCAACAGGUGAUACGUAGAAGACAACAUGCAAUGUUGAUCCUAAACUUACUCCAAGAAGUCAGCUGAAGGACCUCCUGGUGUAUAUGGGCCCAGUUUGCUUCCCAAACGCCAUCACUGGAGAGGACUCCCCAGUACAUGAAGCAUCUCCUGUCUACCAGUCCCCCACUUCAUGUUUCCACCAAGGGGGCUGCUGUGGAAUAGUGUUUUCCCGACGUAACAGAGUCAUUGCCACAGAACCUCACAGCAGAUGUGACUGUGUGUAUACCACAAGAUCAAGCCAGCCAAAAUUCCAGCAGUAAUGAGGCACUCGAGGAUUAUUUGAUGAACAUCUACCGAACAACGUGGCUUCAAGAAUAAAGUCAUAACAAGGCUGUUAACAUUUGUGAAAUGAAUCCAUUUGGCAGGUCAAUGAAUUCAUUAUAAUCCACUACAUGAAUGUAUGUGGACUGCAUGAAUUUAUGUGCACUGUAUGUGUGCAGGUGCCCACAGAAGACAGAAGCAGGCAUCAGAUUUCCUGGAAUGCGGUUAGUAGCAGUUUUUAGCUGCCUGAUGUGGGUGCUGGGAGGCAAACACAGGUCUUUGGCAAGAACAGUAUGUGUU